rnacentral:rRNA from 1 species
UACGGGGGGAGCAAGCGUUGUUCGGAUUUACUGGGCGUAAAGGGCGCGUAGGCGGCGUGACAAGUCACUUGUGAAAUCUCCGGGCUUAACCCGGAACGGUCAAGUGAUACUGUCGUGCUAGAGUACAGAAGGGGCAACUGGAAUUCUCGGUGUAGCGGUGAGAUGCGUAGAUAUCGAGAGGAACACCUGCGGCGAAGGCGGGUUGCUGGGCUGACACUGACGCUGAGGCGCGAAAGCUAGGGGAGCGAACGGG